rnacentral:rRNA from 1 species
AUGAACGCUGGCGGCGUGCUUCACACAUGCAAGUCGAACGGAAAGGCCCAAGCUUGCUUGGGUACUCGAGUGGCGAACGGGUGAGUAACACGUGGGUGAUCUGCCCUGCACUUCGGGAUAAGCCUGGGAAACUGGGUCUAAUACCGGAUAGGACCACAUUUUGGAUGGUGUGGUGGAAAGUUUUUCGGUGUGGGAUGAGCUCGCGGCCUAUCAGCUUGUUGGUGGGGUAAUGGCCUACCAAGGCGUCGACGGGUAGCCGGCCUGAGAGGGUGUACGGCCACAUUGGGACUGGGAUACGGCCCAGACUCCUACGGGAGGCAGCAGUGGGGAAUAUUGCACAAUGGGCGCAAGCCUGAUGCAGCGACGCCGCGUGGGGGAUGACGGCCUUCGGGUUGUAAACUCCUUUCGCUAGGGACGAAGCGUUAUGUGACGGUACCUGGAGAAGAAGCACCGGCUAACUACGUG